rnacentral:rRNA from 1 species
UACGUAGGGACCAAGCGUUGUUCGGAUUUACUGGGCGUAAAGGGCGCGUAGGCGGCAUGACAAGUCACUUGUGAAAUCUCCGGGCUUAACUCGGAACGGUCAAGUGAUACUGUCGCGCUAGAGUGCGGAAGGGGCAAUCAGAAUUCUUGGUGUAGCGGUGAAAUGCGUAGAUAUCAAGAGGAAUACCUGAGGUGAAGACGGGUUGCUAGGCCGACACUGACGCUGAAGCGCGAAAGCCAGAGGAGCAAACGGG